AUACGUAGGGGGCGAGCGUUGUCCGGAAUGAUUGGGCGUAAAGGGCGCGUAGGCGGCCCGGUAAGUCUGGAGUGAAAGUCCUGUUUUUAAGAUGGGAAUUGCUUUGGAUACUGUCGGGCUUGAGUGCAGGAGAGGUAAGUGGAAUUCCCAGUGUAGCGGUGAAAUGCGUAGAGAUUGGGAGGAACACCAGUGGCGAAGGCGGCUUACUGGACUGUAACUGCCGCUGAGGCGCGAAAGUGUGGGGAGCAAACAGGAUUAGAUACCCUGGUAGUCCACACUGUAAACGAUGAAUGCUAGGUGUAGGGGGUAUCGACCCCUUCUGUGCCGCAGUCAACACAAUAAGCAUUCCGCCUGGGGAGUACGGCCGCAAGGUUGAAACUCAAAUGAAUUGACGGGG
rnacentral:rRNA from 1 species